ensembl:lncRNA
UAUUGGCAAUAAGCACAAAAGAUUUUUUGCCUUCAAGGCAUAUAGACCCCGGGAACUAUGCGGAAAGCUGAAAGGCAAGCUCUGAUUGCUUUCCUCUGCCAAUGAGUCUCAGCUGGGACACAGAUAUAUAUGAGGCAUCAGGAGCUGGGGAAGCAGAAAUCAGAGAGGUAGGAGUGCACUCAGGAAGCCAUGAAAGAGAAAGAGCUCGUAUAAUUCUUGCUCUCUUCUUGGACAGGGAUCUACCACAAACUGUAAUUGAGCCCUGCCCCAAAUGAGGUGCUAGUCACUGUACUGCAGAGACAUUGAGACUCCUGGACACUCCAAUCUCUGCUCCUUGCAGCCAGGCCAAACCUGGGAUACAGCAGUACGGUACUGCUUGCAGAACCAGCUAGAGGAAGAGGUGUUUUGUGCUUGUUUAGCAAUGAUGUUUAAAUAGCCUAGAAUGAGCAAAUACUGCAAUGGACUUAAAAUCACUUUCAGUUUGAAUGAGAACAACUGGAUGGUUGCCUUGGCUUGAAGACUGAAAACCCUAUAAACAUGAGUCCAACUAUAUGAAGCAAGAUAGGAAUAAAAGGAUUGCUUCUGAAUAUAAUUAUUUAGUGUGAUCAUUUUUGAAUCUGAAAAUGACCACUUCCACUGAUGGUUCACUAAACAUUGGUAUGUUGGUAAUCUGCUUACUGUAUUAUUAAAUAAAACAUUUUCCUUCUUGCCCAAAAUACAUGUUAAUUAAUCAUAAUGAGAUAUAGCCUAGACACAAGCAGGUAAGAAUUAUGCAUGGCCACACUUAUUUUUGUGGUGUUGCCAGCUACAGAAUCACUAUGAUUCUUGAUAGGGAUAGCCUCAAACAGUUAGAGCAAAACAGAACAGCAAUUAUGAAGUAACUCCGUACUUACUAGAAAGAAAAUCUUGCAUAUUCAGGAAGAUUUCUUAAACAGUAAUAAUGCAUUUGUUCUUUACUCACGACCUUUAUUCUGCUGGUGUCCCCAAAGCAGGAAAGCCACAGGGGUCCCAGGACUCUGAGCUUCAGCGGAGAAGCCCAGGGAUGGCAAUCCUUGGAUCAAGAAAGAGAACCAUGAAUAACAGGAAUCAUCUAACAAACUGGGGCCUAAAUGGGAAGAGCAGAGAUGCAGCUACAGUAAAGGUGUGAUUUUAUGGUCAGCUUCAUCUAGUUGAACUCUGAAAUACUACUGCAAGGGACAAAUCUUCCUUUCCCCCACCUCACCUGUCUGUCCUCCACGCUUUGUGUCAGCACAUGUAGUUGCACCCUCAGCAGUCAGCCAGAUCCGGUCCCCAGUACAGCUGCACAGCUGGAUGAAUGCUGCUGCUGACACAACACAAGGACAAGGGACAGACACCCUUUCACCACCCUUCUGGAGCUUACAAAUAGAUUAGCCAUGGCUGAUACAGAACUAUACCCAAGUAUCGCCCCUUUUCGAUGAAGAAAGGAAACAGCAGAUUCCUGUGUUAUUCGCCGCACAGCAAUAAAUCAAGUUACUGAUAAAUAGUAAGCAUUUGGCAUACCUGCCUUUAUGAUACCAUGGUCAUUGGUAAUACAACUGUAAAUGGGAAGCAACAUGUCAGACAAAUGAUUGUUUCAAGAGAUCAGACAAUAAAUGUAAAUUAAACCAAAUUAAAUGAAAUUGUAAGAGAAGUUUUAUGGACAGGGAACUGUGAGGUGAGGCUUGAACAUUCAU